rnacentral:rRNA from 1 species
UGGGGAAUAUUGGACAAUGGGCGCAAGCCUGAUCCAGCCAUGCCGCGUGAGUGAUGAAGGCCUUAGGGUUGUAAAGCUCUUUCAGUAGGGAAGAUAAUGACGGUACCUACAGAAGAAGCCCCGGCUAACUUCCUGCCAGCAGCCGCGGUAAUACGAAGGGGGCUAGCGUUGUUCGGAUUUACUGGGCGUAAAGCGCACGUAGGCGGGUCGUUAAGUCAGGGGUGAAAUCCUGGAGCUCAACUCCAGAACUGCCUUUGAUACUGGCGACCUAGAGUCCGGAAGAGGUGAGUGGAACUCCUAGUGUAGAGGUGGAAUUCGUAGAUAUUAGGAAGAACACCAGUGGCGAAGGCGGCUCACUGGUCCGGUACUGACGCUGAGGUGCGAAAGCGUGGGGAGCAAACAGG